UCCUACUGAUUUAGAUGGUAAAGAAUCUGCCUGAAAUGCAGGAGACCCAGGUUUGAUCCCUGGAUCAGGAA
rfam:TPA: Bos taurus chromosome 7, whole genome shotgun sequence.